GAUGAACGCUUGCGGCGUGCUUAAAACAUGCAAGUCGAAGGGAGUGGCGAACGGGUGAGUACAACGUGAGUAACCUGUCCUUUUCUUUGGGAUAAGCUUCCGAAAGGGUGUUUAAUACCUUAUGGAUUUGGGUGGGCUCGCGGUCUAUCAGCUUGGUGGUGGGGUGAUGGCUUACCAAGGCUUUGACGGGGAGCCGGCCUGAGAGGGUGGUCGGUCACAUUGGGACGGAGAUGCGGCCCAGACUCCUGCGGUAGGCAGCAGGGGGGGAUAUUGCACAAGGGGCGGUAGCCUGAUGCAGCGACGCCGCGUGGGGGAUGAAGGCCUUCGGGUUGUAAACGUCUUUUGCUCGGAACGUGUAGGUGUUGAUUAGCGCCGGCUAACUACGUGCCAGCAGCCGCGGUAAUAC
rnacentral:rRNA from 1 species